GAUGAACGCUGGCGGCGUGCUUAACACAUGCAAGUCGAACGGGAAUUCCUUUAUUGAAACUUCGGUCGAUUUAAUUUAAUUCUAGUGGCGGACGGGUGAGUAACGCGUGGGUAACCUGCCUUAUACAGGGGGAUAACAGUCAGAAAUGGCUGCUAAUACCGCAUAAGCGCACAGAGCUGCAUGGCUCGGUGUGAAAAACUCCGGUGGUAUAAGAUGGACCCGCGUUGGAUUAGCUUGUUGGUGGGGUAACGGCCCACCAAGGCGACGAUCCAUAGCCGGCCUGAGAGGGUGAACGGCCACAUUGGGACUGAGACACGGCCCAGACUCCUACGGGAGGCAGCAGUGGGGAAUAUUGCACAAUGGGGGAAACCCUGAUGCAGCGACGCCGCGUGAAGGAAGAAGUAUCUCGGUAUGUAAACUUCUAUCAGCAGGGAAGAUAGUGACGGUACCUGACGAAGAAGCCCCGGCUAACUACGUG
rnacentral:rRNA from 1 species